rnacentral:rRNA from 1 species
GAUGAACGCUGGCGGCGUGCCUAAUACAUGCAAGUCGAGCGAACGGACGAGAAGCUUGCUUCUCUGAUGUUAGCGGCGGACGGGUGAGUAACACGUGGAUAACCUACCUAUAAGACUGGGAUAACUUCGGGAAACCGGAGCUAAUACCGGAUAAUAUUUUGAACCGCAUGGUUCAAGAGUGAAAGACGGUCUUGCUGUCACUUAUAGAUGGAUCCGCGCUGCAUUAGCUAGUUGGUAAGGUAACGGCUUACCAAGGCAACGAUGCAUAGCCGACCUGAGAGGGUGAUCGGCCACACUGGAACUGAGACACGGUCCAGACUCCUACGGGAGGCAGCAGUAGGGAAUCUUCCGCAAUGGGCGAAAGCCUGACGGAGCAACGCCGCGUGAGUGAUGAAGGUCUUCGGAUCGUAAAACUCUGUUAUUAGGGAAGAACAUAUGUGUAAGUAACUGUGCACAUCCUGACGGUACCUAAUCAGAAAGCCACGGCUAACUACGUG